UACGUAGGGUGCAAGCGUUAAUCGGAAUUACUGGGCGUAAAGCGUGCGCAGGCGGUUAUGUAAGACAGAUGUGAAAUGCCCGGGCUUAACCUGGGAACUGCAUUUGUGAACGCAUGGCUAGAGUGUGUCAGAGGGGGGUAGAAUUCCACGUGUAGCAGUGAAAUGCGUAGAUAUGUGGAGGAAUACCGAUGGCGAAGGCAGCCACCUGGGAUAACACUGACGCUCAUGCACGAAAGCGUGGGGAG
rnacentral:rRNA from 1 species